GCUGGUGCUGGGCGAGGGCGACCUGGUCGGCUCCCGCCCGAUCGAGUUCUGGGCCGCGCCGUUCUGGUCGGACGCGCCCGCG
rnacentral:tRNA from 1 species